rnacentral:lncRNA from 1 species
CUACGUAGUACCGAAUUUUCAACUCACGUGUUUCUUCUUCUUGUGGAUUGUUCUACGCACAGAGUACGCACAGAGUAUGACCCACACAUCAAAGGGCUAUGGCCUUCGGUGCCAGUGGGAAAUUGUAAAUAUCCGUGUCGGGAAUUUGACUCAACAUCACAGAUUGUAUCCCGUGGAUCCCAUAUUUGGAUCGUCCACGUAAAGUUCAGGGCCGAAACUUUGAUUUACAUUACACAUUCUCCUCAGGUCAAAGUGACUUUUUGAAGCUAUUCGGUUAUUUUCUGCCAAUUUAUCAAGCACACUGUAGCACAAAGGAAUUAUGCACCAGUCCAGUCGAGCUCCGGAUGGGGGCCCCGGACGCUAGUUGCAGUCUCCCUGUUUAGCCUAGUUUUCUUCGACUCCUUUGCGAACAGACAACUUCAAUAAGUUCACUGUCCAGGGAGGGGUUUUGUCGAUUCACAUGAAUCGCCACUCGAGAUCCGAGAACAAUGAGGGGUAUUGACUUGGCGUGUAUGUGUGAGGUUCAAGUGACCAGGCGAGAAUUUCAUAUUCGACGCUUUGCCAUGGAGUACGUACUUAGUUGCUUCUCCACAUACUCCUGUUCUACUAUGGGUACUUCCCGCGGGGUGAUCGACGACACGACCUGCCUGAUCAGGCAUCUAGCUUGGUCUCCUGCCUUAAAACAGAAACUCCUCUUUCAACCAGCUUAAACGUUUAUCCCCCGACUGUCCUGGACUUUUUCCGAUUUUUUUCUUCUGUGUGCGUCCGAUCCAUGAGGUGAGCAGCAAAAGUUUCACGCCCGGCGGGGUCUAGAAAAUUCUUGACAUGAUCCUUUCUUGUCUUUUAAGUUUAAGGACGGUGUAGCUAUGUCGCACGGAUACUUAUUACUUAGUGCGCUCGCGUCUGGAAGGUUGCUAAUGAAUGAAGGGGCAUUCGGAACGUAGCAUGGUAUACACAGGUCUACAUAGACCUGACAUACGACGCCCACAAUACUGGAAAUUUCUCAGCAGUUAGUUAGUUACUCCGUAACUAGUUACAUAAAUUACUUCGUACCUAUUAGACCUAUAAUAAGUUAGCCGAGAUGCCGAUCACUACUCCGAUUUGGUAGA